rnacentral:lncRNA from 1 species
GAGAGACAAAUACCAAGGACAUAUCAGGAAGAAUAUUGUCCCCAGUAAAUACCAAGGACACAUCAGGAAGAAUUUUGUGGAGAGAGAGGUAAAGAAUCAGGAUGGAAAUAGAAAAUAGGCCGAACAAUGGCCAAGCAUCAAAAUCCUAAGUCAGGACAGUGCUAGGACUGCUUUUUUCUAUAUCAGACACGUGGGCUCCUGCUGUGCCUUCCUGGAAAACAGAGGCCAAGGAUGGAGCAGACCAAGAGGAUGCCAGGAAAAAUCACAAAGAAGCCCAGAAAGCACAGCUGGAAGCCAAGAACCCUAUUUUUGGUUUGUGUGGGUGGAAGAUGAGGGACAAUAUAUAGUGACCAACAGGAUUCUUCAUCUGAAAGAGAAUGGAGUAUAUCAGACCUGUGUAUUUAGGUGAAGUAUGAUAA